UUCGGCGUGCCUACGCUGCCAAAUGUGGAAAAACUCCCAAUGUUGUCAACUCUGAUGGAUCUCCAGCAUCCGCCAGCUCCUGCACAAAUCUCUUCUGCCACCGUUGGAUACAUGUGUUUUCUAACAUGGCUUCCUGAUCAGAGCGAGGGAAAGGUGCUACUGCCCAGUUCUUUUUGCAUUCUUUCAGCCCCUGUUAAGAUAAGAGGAUUGUAGCGAGCGUAGCCCUCUUAAUAAGCGUUAGUGAGCGCAACGUUUCACUCCCUUUUUAAGGGCUAGGUCCUCAGAUCCGUAGAUUCUAGAGGUGUUUACUCUUACCAUUUGUGGAAAUCCCGCUAUUAGUUAUUAGUUGGUAUCCCCCGAAGCAGGUAUUUGGCAGGUGAGGGCAACCAGGCAACCCUCAGUUACUAGCUGUGGAUAGGAAUAGGAUCCGGGUACAAAGAUGAUGGAGGUCCUUCUUCCACCUCUGGAUCCAGACAA
rnacentral:lncRNA from 1 species